AGAGUUUGAUCAUGGCUCAGGAUGAACGUGGGCGGUGUGCCUAAUACAUGCAAGUCGAACGGAGUUAAUAGCAAUAUUGACUUAGUGGCGAACGGGUGAGUAACGCGUUGGUGAUCUGCCUCGAAGUGUGGAAUAACGUUCCGAAAGGAUCGCUAAUACCGCAUGUGCUCUCGAUUUUUAGAAAGUUGAGAGUAAAGGAUUUAUUCGCUUCGAGAGGAGCCUGCGUCCCAUCAGCUGGUUGGUAGGGUAACGGCCUACCAAGGCUAUGACGGGUAGGGGACCUGAGAGGGUGGCCCCCCACAAUGGAACUGAAACACGGUCCAUACACCUACGGGUGGCAGCAGUAGGGAAUAUUAGAAAUGGACGAAAGUCUGAUCUAGCAACACCGCGUGUGCGAAGAAGGCCUUCGGGUCGUAAAGCACUUUUUGGAAGGAAUAGGAAGGAAUGUACUUCCAGAAUAAGUCUCGGCUAACUACGUGCCAGCAGCCGCGGUAACACGUAGGAGGCAAACGUUAUCCGGAUUUACUGGGCGUAAAGCGCGUGUAGGUGGUACUGUAAGUAGGGCGUGAAAGCUCCCGGCUCAACUGGGAGAGGCCGUUCUAAACUGCAGAACUAGAGGAUGGUAGAGGGAGGUGGAAUUCCAGGUGUAGCGGUGGAAUGCGCAGAUAUCUGGAGGAACACCAGUGGCGAAGGCGGCCUCCUGGACCAUUCCUGACACUCAGACGCGAAAGCUAGGGUAGCAAACGGGAUUAGAGACCCCGGUAGUCCUAGCCCUAAACGAUGUAGACUAGGCGUCGGUGGUUUAAUCACCAUCGGUGUCCAAGCUAACGCGAUAAGUCUACCGCCUGGGGACUACGGCCGCAAGGUUAAAACUCAAAUGAAUUGACGG
rnacentral:rRNA from 1 species